rnacentral:rRNA from 4 species
ACAAGGUUUCCGUAGGUGAACCAGCGGAGGGAUCAUU